rnacentral:lncRNA from 1 species
AUUUUACUUUUCUGUUUGUAAACGGUCUUGUCCGAUUUCAAAAUUUGUUUCUAAUUUGUGUUCUUGUCUUUAGUGUCUGUCGUGUGUGUCGUAUCCUUUCUGCCGCUGUUUGUCAUUGCUUCUUGCCCAAGCGGAGAGGUAUGUUAAAAUUUUCCAAUGUUUUCUUGUAGUUUAUAACAUAACCAGGUGGCUGACUACAGCCAAACAGAAGGCUGUCAAAUAUACUACAUGCUUUGUGCAUUUGAGCGUUUGAAAAAGCAAUGUUAAACAGGGUUGGGUAAUACCAUCUCAGUUCGCAUCUUUACUGUUGUUAUUAUCACACGCUAGUACAUACCGCAUUUGUAUUUUAACUUGAAAGACAGGGCAUAACUGCUAUAUAGAAAUGUCUUAUUUGAGUUAUAAUAAUAAGGCGACAACAUCCUGGGGCCGGUUGUUCAAAGUUGGGUUAGCGCUAACCCUGGGUUAAAAUUUAACCUGCUGUUUUAGUUUAUGUAUUUCUGCACGUCUGUUUAUUUCAAAACUUGAGAGAAGAAAACUUCUAUCGAUCCAGACAAGAUUUCUGAAGAAAGAUUUCCAAAUUUAUACACAAGCUGUCAGAACGUUUGCUUUGAAUUUAAGGUUAACCUAGGGUUAAGCUAAUCGGCUUUUGAACAAACGGCCCCUGAUGUUGUUUGCAUAUAUAUAUAUAUAGUCUAUAGACCUUAGCUUUUAUAUAUGUUUGUCCUGUUUUCAAUUAAUGAGACUCGUUACUUUUCCUACAUUUGAGACGUUUUGAAGUCAUUCUCAUUUGAAGUCUCGGUAUUUCGUACCAAACAUGCGGCAGUAAUAUAUUUUCAGGCCCACAUCACACUGCAUGUAAUAAAACGCUACGGCUACUUUACGUUCGGCGAUUCAACAAGCAACGUUCUAGAUACAAAAGUUUAGAUCCCGUUCUCAAGGGUCCGAAUGAAAUUGGAAAUUUGCACGGUUUGGCCUCUCGUGUUUAAACGGGUAUGGGAUCUGUUCAUAAAACAAAAGCGAAAUACAGACAUUACUUUAUCUGGCACACAGCUGGUGUUCUAGUCAAACAAGUCUUAGAAAUUUUGACAGACAUCUCAGUAUUUUGAUAAGUUCUGCUCUGCUAGUUGACAAUAUAACAUUGUUUACCAAGAACUACCUUUUUCAUGUCGCAUAAAAGCGGAGGUAGUGUAAAAGGUACUGUACAACUCGUCCCUUGAAGCAGACACUUGUCAAAAAUGGAACCGGACGUUCUUACAUAAAAGCACAUUUUUACGAUAACAUUCGCGAUUCUUGAGUUAAAAUAUAGUGGCAGUACUACGUCCGAAUAUGGGCGUUUUGAGCCUUUCGUCACAAGAUAUACAUAUAUAUUCCAAUUAAAACAAAGUGUUGAUUAGAUAUAUCUCAUCCCGAUCUUGUGUGUAUUUAAUUUCGUUAUCUGGCUAUACACACGUAGAAACGCACAAGUUGUUACAAGUCUGCAAACAAGUUGUUACAUACCUGUUCACAAGCUGUCAACAAGUUGUGUUCGCACUGCUUGUUCCCAGUUGUUGUAACAAGUUUGAAACAAACUGUUAACAAUUUGUAACAACCUUGUUGAUAUUAUCAGACUUGACACAAGGUUGUUCUAACAAGUCUGAUACAGUCAUGAUAAACAUGAGAAUGUUGCAAGGUUGACGACACAAUGUUGUAACAAUACUGCUAUAUCAUGACUGAGUCGGACUUGUUGGAACAACCUUGUAACAAACCUGAUAAUAUCAACAAGGUUGUUACAAGUUGUUAACAGCUUGAUCCAAACUCGUUGACAACUUGUGACAAGCAGUGCGAACACAACUUGUUGACGGCUUGUUGACAAACUUGUUACAAGAUGUGAGAUUUUUGCGUGUGUAGGCGAAGAACGAUCUAUCCCAAACGUGUCCCGUGCACGGACGGACAGUGUGGGCAAACAAAUGUCUACAAUAAACUCGAACGGUCUGUCGCCGGGUAGCGACAAUUUAUAUAGCUAGAAGUGUAUACACUAAAAAAGCUCCAUCGAGCUAUACUUGUAUUCGUCGACUUCGGGCGGAUGAAUCCCUUUUAAUCCGCAGCUUUUUGGUAAUCUACAAUAAGCUGGUUUGGUGUGUGUCUGAACUGCCUGAAAAAUAUAUCUUCAACGUGGGAGUCGAGUGUUUAGGUACAGGGCUCAAAAUAACGGGCGGUCAACGGACAAUGACGGGCUAAAAAUGCCUCUUGACCGAUCAUUUUUUUACCUCACCGGUCAUUUUGACCGGCCACACUUUCAUCCCAUCCAAUGUGAUUGCUGACGUCUUGAAUUAAAACUAUGAUAUAUCGAAACAAGUUUUUAAUACUUUGUUUCACUGUUAGUGUAAGCGUAUCAAUAACCGAUCAAAAACAGAUUUUGACCGAGCUAAAAUCAAGUUUAUCGGUCAUUUUGACCGGAGACCUAUCUCCCGUUAUUUUGAGCCCUGAGGUAGUAUUCCACAAUGUUAAAAUUGUUCGGUUGUUUGUGUCUGAACUACAUGAAGAAGGUCGUUCCGUUUGGUAGACACUUUUAUAUAUUUCAACCAGUCAGAGCAGAACAACUACAACAUCGGAUAUCGAAAAUGUCUGAGGAUGAUCUCGUGGAUGACAUGAACAGCCCCUUACCCCUUAGUCAUUUCCUGAUGAUGACUCAAAUCUAGUUGAAACGUGGAAUAAAGCACUUUUCAAAAUGUUACCGCGUUUUCGUUGUUACUAUUGUAUUACACUUUAUAUACUUCAAAGACAUCGUACGUUUGUCUUCGAUUAAUAUUAUACAAGAUGCUACACGUAAUCGUACCCGCUUGAGUGAUUUGCAAAGUUUUAAGUGAUACGCAAUUAAACAAAGCGUUUUUCGUGCUCUCCAGAUAUUGUUGUGCAAAGUGUUUCUAGGCCAGCUGCUCUCAGGGCCUAUUUGCUUCUAAUAUCAGG